rnacentral:pre_miRNA from 1 species
CAGCCUCAUGGCGUGCUUUCUGCGCUUGAUAGGACUAGCCGGCGUAGGAGCGCGCACAGAGACUCGGCGAAUACCGGCUGGUCCUAUCAAGUGCAGACAGCACGCCAUGACGUUGU